AUGCAAGGCUUCCAGCAUGACUCGGCUUGUCGUAGUCAUGAUCAUUCCUGUAGCACUUGCUAAAUCAAUGCUGAGAUGGUUUGAGGCCUCCUUCUGCCUAUCCAGAUGGAGGUUAUAGAAAUCCCAUACAUGU